rnacentral:rRNA from 1 species
GAUGAACGCUGGCGGCGUGCCUAAUACAUGCAAGUCGAGCGAACAGACGAGGAGCUUGCUCCUCUGACGUUAGCGGCGGACGGGUGAGUAACACGUGGAUAACCUACCUAUAAGACUGGGAUAACUUCGGGAAACCGGAGCUAAUACCGGAUAAUAUAUUGAACCGCAUGGUUCAAUAGUGAAAGACGGUUUUGCUGUCACUUAUAGAUGGAUCCGCGCCGCAUUAGCUAGUUGGUAAGGUAACGGCUUACCAAGGCAACGAUGCGUAGCCGACCUGAGAGGGUGAUCGGCCACACUGGAACUGAGACACGGUCCAGACUCCUACGGGAGGCAGCAGUAGGGAAUCUUCCGCAAUGGGCGAAAGCUUGACGGAGCAACGCCGCGUGAGUGAUAAAGGUCUUCGGAUCGUAAAACUCUGUUAUUAGGGAAGAACAAAUGUGUAAGUAACUAUGCACGUCUUGACGGUACCUAAUCAGAAAGCCACGGCUAACUACAUG